rnacentral:lncRNA from 1 species
AACCCAGAUCUCUAAUUGACACCUUAUAACACAUAUUUAACCAACAACUAACAUAAAACAACAUAAGAUCAAAGGAUUUCGAAUUUUAAGGUUCUUACCAUUUUUUUAGCUUUGAUCUUUGAUUCUGACUUUGAUCCUAUUAUGGGUAGCUAUGAUCUGAUCAUGACUUACUAUUUCACUCUCUCUCACUCUAGAAUUUCAAAAAUGAAGAGAGAUAAGGGACUUGGAGAAAUGAAAAAGUAAACUAAGCUUUUUCUUAC